rnacentral:rRNA from 1 species
UACAGAGGUCUCAAGCGUUGUUCGGAUUCAUUGGGCGUAAAGGGUGCGUAGGCGGCGCGGUAAGUCGGGGUGUGAAAUCUCGGAGCUUAACUCCGAAACUGCAUUCGAUACUACCGUGCUUGAGGACUGGAGAGGAGACUGGAAUUUACGGUGUAGCGGUGAAAUGCGUAGAUAUCGUAAGGAAGACCAGUGGCGAAGGCGGGUCUCUGGACAGUUCCUGACACUGAGACACGGAAGGCCAGGGGAGCAAACGGG